rnacentral:rRNA from 1 species
AGUGAACGCUGGCGGUAGGCCUAACACAUGCAAGUCGAACGGCAGCACAGUAAGAGCUUGCUCUUACGGGUGGCGAGUGGCGGACGGGUGAGGAAUACAUCGGAAUCUACUUUUUCUUGGGGGAUAACGUAGGGCCACUUACGCUAAUACCGCAUACGACCUACGGGUGGAAGCAGGGGUUCUUCGGACCUUGCGCGAUUGAAUGAGCCGAUGUCGGAUUAGCUAGUUGGCGGGGUAAAGGCCCACCAAGGCGACGAUCCGUAGCUGGUCUGAGAGGAUGAUCAGCCACACUGGAACUGAGACACGGUCCAGACUCCUACGGGAGGCAGCAGUGGGGAAUAUUGGACAAUGGGCGCAAGCCUGAUCCAGCCAUACCGCGUGGGUGAAGAAGGCCUUCGGGUUGUAAAGCCCUUUUGUUGGGAAAGAAAAGCAGCAGGUUAAUACCCCGCUGUUCUGACGGUACCCAAAGAAUAAGCACCGGCUAACUUCGUG